UACGUAGGGUCCAAGCGUUAUCCGGAAUCACUGGGCGUAAAGCGUGCGUAGGUGGAUGCUUAAGUGAGUUGUUAAUCGUGGGCUCAACCCUGUCGAUGCAAUUCAUACUUGGGCGUCUAGAGGACGGCAGAGGCAAGUGGAAUUGGUAGUGUAGCAGUGAAAUGCGUAGAUAUUACCAGGAACACCAAUGGCGAAGGCAGCUUGCUGGCCACUCUGACACUGAGGUACGAAAGCGUGGGGGAGCGAAACAGG
rnacentral:rRNA from 1 species